AAAAGCUCGUAGUUGGAUCUCAGCUCCGGCCGGACGGUCCGCCUACCGGUGGUUACUGUUCGCAGCCGAGCGUUCAGGCGGUUAUUCUUGAUGAUCUUCACCGGUUGUCUCGGGUGACCGCCAAGUUUACUUUGAAAAAAUUAGAGUGCUCAAAGCAGGCGUGACGCCUGAAUAAUUGUGCAUGGAAUAAUGGAAUAGGACCUCGGUUCUAUUUUGUUGGUUUUCGGAACACGAGGUAAUGAUUAAGAGGGACAGACGGGGGCAUUCGUAUUGCGACGCUAGAGGUGAAAUUCUUGGACCGUCGCAAGACGAACUACUGCGAAAGCAUUUGCCAAGAAUGUUUCCAUUAAUCAAGAACGACAGUUAGAGGUUCGAAGGCGAUCAGAUACCGCCCUAGUUCUAACCAUAAACGAUGCCAGCCAGCGAUCCGGCUGUGUUCCUCAAAUGACACGCCGGGCAGCUUCCGGGAAACCAAAGCUUUUGGGUUCCGGGGGAAGUAUGGUUGCAAAGCUGAAACUUAAAGGAAUAGACGGAAGGGCACCACCAGGAUUGGAGCCUGCGGCUUAAUUUGACUCAACACGGGGAAACUUACCCGGCCCGGACACAGGAAGGAUUGACAGAUUGAGAGCUCUUUCUUGAUUCUGUGGGUGGUGGUGCAUGGUCGUUCUUAGUUGGUGGGGCGACUUGUCUGGUUAAUUCCGAUAACGAACGAGACUCUAGCCUACUAAAUAGACGUUCCCAUCAUCUCUCGUGGGACGUUCUUCUUAGAGGGACAAGCGGCGUCUAGCCGCACGAGACAGAGCAAUAACAGGUCUGAGAUGCCCUUAGAUGUCCGGGGCCGCACGCGCGCUACAUUGAAGGACUCAGCGUGUGCUUUCCCUGUCCGAAAGGACUGGGUAACCCGUUGAACCUCCUUCGUGCUGGGGAUUGGCGAAUGUAAUUGACGCCAUGAACGAGGAAUUCCCAGUAAGCAUGAGUCAUCAGCUCGUGCUGAUUACGUCCCUGCCCUUUGUACUCACCGCCCGUCGCUACUACCGAUUGAGUGAUUUAGUGAGGUCUUCGGACUGGCGCUCGGAUUGGCCUUCGUGGUCGAGCCGGUGUGCCGGAAAGAUGACCAAACUUGAUUACUUAGAGGAAGUAAAAGUCGUAACAAGGUUUU
rnacentral:rRNA from 1 species